CUGAGUUAUCUAACUCUUCAAACCCAUGUGAACUUACCACUUUGUUGCCUCGGCGGCAGAAAGGUUCAGUGGUCUCCUCUCGGGGAGUUCGCUGGACUGGGCCGCCGAUGGACCACUAAACUCUGUUAUAUUUGAAUCUCUGAGCAAACUAUAAUAAAUCA
rnacentral:misc_RNA from 1 species